rnacentral:rRNA from 1 species
UGGGGAAUAUUGCGCAAUGGGGGAAACCCUGACGCAGCGACGCCGUGUGAGGGAAGAAGGCCUUCGGGUCGUAAACCUCUGUCGGGAGGGAAGAACCGCCGGUUUCCGAACAGGGAGCCGGUCUGACGGUACCUCCGAAGGAAGCGCCGGCUAACUCCGUGCCAGCAGCCGCGGUAAUACGGAGGGCGCGAGCGUUAAUCGGAAUCACUGGGCGUAAAGCGCGCGUAGGCGGCCAGAUAAGUCGGGCGUGAAAGCCCUCGGCUCAACCGGGGAACUGCGUUCGAUACUGUUUGGCUUGAGUCCUGGAGAGGGUGGCGGAAUUCCGGGUGUAGGAGUGAAAUCCGUAGAUAUCCGGAGGAACACCGGUGGCGAAGGCGGCCACCUGGACAGGUACUGACGCUGAGGUGCGAAAGCGUGGGGAGCAAACAG